UACGGGGGGGGCAAGCGUUGUUCGGAAUUACUGGGCGUAAAGGGUUUGUAGGUGGUCUGUUAAGUCAGACGUGAAAUCCCUCAGCUUAACCGGGGAACUGCGUCUGAUACUGGAUGGCUUGAGUUCGGGAGAGGGAUGCGGAAUUCCAGGUGUAGCGGUGAAGUGCGUAGAGAUCCGGAGGAACACCAGUGGCGAAGGCGACACGCUGGGCCGUACCUGACACUGAUGCGCGACAGCAUGGGGAGCAAACAGG
rnacentral:rRNA from 1 species